rnacentral:misc_RNA from 1 species
UUUUGGGUUCCGGAACUUGAUUGGAGUCCGGCCAUCAUCACUAUGGCCUGAAAAGUAAUAGUUUUGAGUUUCAGAGUCCUGGAGCUGCUUAAGAACUGGUACAUAAGAAGCAUUCAGCCACUUAAAGUCUUCAAACUUUUGAACCUCAACAGUAACUCCCCCAAAAUCAUUCAUAGCAAACCAGGCCUUCAUUGCAGCAUAGUUUA